UAUCAGUUAGUACUAUGGUAUGAAAACUAAACACAGAGAAAAGGGACACGGGAAGUCCAUGGGAACAUAUGGGGAUGGAAUAAUCCGGCAGAAAGGAACACUUGAAGAUGAAGGAAAGAAAAAUAGAUCAUUUCAACAGCAACAUCUUUGAGCAGCUAAUAAGGAGCAGAAUCUUAUGCAGAGGAGUUGGACUUACCGAAGAAUAUGGCUGAGAUAGAGUCUCAGAGCAAAGGCACAAUUCGAAAAGGCACCAAGACAGAGGAAAUCCACCCAGAACUGAGGGACAUGUUCAACAGCCAUUGUGACCUCAAGACAAAAUAUCGAGCAAAGAAAUACAAGCCCCAGAAAGGUAUGUCUUCAAAAUUGAAUUCAGGGUGAGUCAGGUCCACCUUAGUUAUUGUCUGCACGUGAGAAUGGAGAGUAAAAAUAAGACAAUGAAAAAGGUACCUAGUUGGAUAUAAAGAUCCUUAAUUUUUCUUUUUUCUUUUUUUUC